rnacentral:rRNA from 1 species
AACAAACGCUGGCGGCGUGCCUAACACAUGCAAGUCGUACGAGAAAAUUCGCUUCGGCGAGUAAGUAAAGUGGCGCACGGGUGAGUAACGCGUGGAUAAUCUACCCUUUAGCUGGGGAUAACUCAUCGGAAGGUGGGCUAAUACCCGAUAAUACUGCUUCUACUGCGGUUGAGCAGUCAAAGGUAGCCUCUGUUUACAAGCUUCCACUGAAGGAUGAGUCCGCGUACCAUUAGCUAGUUGGUAGGGUAAUGGCCUACCAAGGCGACGAUGGUUAGCUGGUCUGAGAGGAUGAUCAGCCACACUGGAACUGAGACACGGUCCAGACUCCUACGGGAGGCAGCAGUGAGGAAUCUUGCGCAAUGGGGGAAACCCUGACGCAGCAACGCCGCGUGAGUGAGGAAGGUUUUCGGAUCGUAAAGCUCUGUCAGGUGGGAAGAAAUGUAUAGGGGUUAACAGCCCUUAUUCUUGACGGUACCACCAGAGGAAGCACCGGCCAACUCCGUGCCAGCCGCCGCGGUAACAC